rnacentral:lncRNA from 1 species
UAGAACUAAAUUUCCAAUCCAUCAUCUACCAAAAUUUAAGGAUCACAAAUUCCCCUCGUCCCUAGUGUUGGCUUAAAUGGGUCAGCAUCUUGCUCUGUAGCGGGAGGCCAUGUGGGCCGAGUCAUAUUUGAAAUGACGUGAAACUGAGUUGGGCCGAGUCAUGUUCGAAGUGGGCCGAGUCAUGUUCGAAAUAGCGUGAGACUAAUUGGAUCAAAUCACAAUUAAGACCCGUGGAUGCUAUAUCUGUACGAUUUAAACGAAUUGGUUACGUAUUUCUAAUAGCUCGAGUUUUUGGAAUUAAUGGUUAGCGCCAACGAUCUGACACCUUGGGUGAUUCAAAUAUAAUUUAUUCAUC